rnacentral:rRNA from 1 species
AUUGAACGCUGGCGGCAGGCCUAACACAUGCAAGUCGAGCGGCAGCGGGAAAGUAGCUUGCUACUUUUGCCGGCGAGCGGCGGACGGGUGAGUAAUGCCUGGGGAUCUGCCCAGUCGAGGGGGAUAACUACUGGAAACGGUAGCUAAUACCGCAUUCGCCCUACGGGGGAAAGCCGGGGACCUUCGGGCCUUGCGCGAUUGGAUGAACGCAGGUGGGAUUAGCUAGUUGGUGUGGUAAGGGCUCACCAAGGCGACGAGCCCUAGCUGGUCUUGGAGUAGGAUAAGACAAUAUGGAUCUGAUGCACGGUGCAGGCUCCUAGGGGAGGCAGCAGUGGGGAAUAGUGCACAAUGGGGGAAACCCUGAUGCAGGCAUGCCGCGUGUGUGAAGGAGGCCUUCGGGUUGUAAAGCACUUUCAGCGAUGAGGAAAGGUUGGUAGCUAAUAACUGCCAGCUGUGACGUUACUCGCAGAAGAAGCACCGGCUAACUCCGUGCCAGCAGCCGCAGUAACAC